rnacentral:misc_RNA from 1 species
GAAAUAGCCUCAUCAAAGGCCUGUGCAGGCAAAAAUAUUGCAGUGAUUACAAAGAGAGAAUCCUACUACAUAGAAUGAUUGGCAAGAAAUCCAAAAUGUCAAUCAUGGAAAGAUUUGAUCACCCAAUAGAAAGACAAGGCACCGAACAUCUAGUUUGUAAACUGAUACAUGUUUAAAUGUUUACGGGGAAUAUGGAUACAAGUAAAAUAAACUGAGAUCAGGCAAGAAAAAGUUGUUCAGCCUAUAAUUUCUAUAAGCUGUAAAGAGGUAGUCAAUGAAAUGUAAAGGAUAACCAGCUCUAGAUUACAUACCAGCUUCAAAGCUAUCAACUAAUGUCAAUGAAAUGUAAAGGAUAACCAGCUCUAGAUUACAUACCAGCUUCAAAGCUAUCAACUAAU